rnacentral:rRNA from 1 species
CCUACGGGAGGCAGCAGUGGGGAAUAUUGCGCAAUGGGCGAAAGCCUGACGCAGCAACGCCGCGUGAGGGAUGACGGCCUUCGGGUUGUAAACCUCUUUCAGCAGGGAAGAAGCGAAAGUGACGGUACCUGCAGAAGAAGCACCGGCUAACUACGUGCCAGCAGCCGCGGUAAUACGUAGGGUGCAAGCGUUGUCCGGAUUUAUUGGGCGUAAAGAGCUCGUAGGCGGUUAGUCACGUCGGAUGUGAAAUCCCGGAGCUUAACUCCGGGCCUGCAUUCGAUACGGGCUGACUCGAGUAUUGUAGGGGAGACUGGAACUCCUGGUGUAGCGGUGAAAUGCGCAGAUAUCAGGAAGAACACCGGUGGCGAAGGCGGGUCUCUGGGCAAUUACUGACGCUGAGGAGCGAAAGCGUGGGGAGCAAACAGGAUUAGAUACCCUGGUAGUCCACGCCGUAAACGGUAGGCGCUAGGUGUGGGGACCCUUCCACGGUCUCCGUGCCGCNGCUACGCAUAGUCGCCCGCCGUCGGNGGACGGCCGCGACGACGAAACGUACAACAGUAAGUUAGUACGGUUCGUUGUAGACGUUGCCGACGGCGACGACGAGGGAGGAGG